AGCCCAAAAAUUUCCCAAAUAAAUCCCAAAAAAUUCCCAAAUGAAAGAGUAAAAAUCCCAAAUCAAGCCCAAAAAAAAUCCCACAUAAAACCUGGAAAAUUCUCGGGUUUGAGCCCGGAGAAUUCCCAGAAAUCCCCGGGAUUUGGGAUUUGGGGAUUUGGGAUCAGAAUUUGGGAUUUGGGAUCAGGAUUUGGGAUUUGGGAUCAGGAUCAGGAUCAGGAUUUGGGAUCAGGAUUUGGGAUUUGGGGAUUUGGGGAUUUGGGAUCAGGAUUUGGGAUCAGGGUUUGGGAUCAGGAUUUGGGAUCAGGGUUUGGGAUCAGGAUUUGGGAUUUGGGAUUUGGGAUCAGGAUUUGGGAUUUGGGAUCAGGAUUUGGGAUCAGGGUUUGGGAUUUGGGAUCAGGGUUUGGGAUUUGGGAUCAGGAUUUGGGAUUUGGGAUCAGGGUUUGGGAUCAGGAUUUGGGAUUUGGGAUCAGGGUUUGGGAUCAGGAUUUGGGAUCAGGGUUUGGGAUUUGGCUCUGCCCACCCCGGAAUGGA
rnacentral:lncRNA from 1 species